UACAAGUAUCACUUUAGGGACAGUCAGUGCCGCACUUGCAUUUAUUAUAUGAAAUAUGCACAGCCCUAAUCUCCCAUAAUCAUCAAUCUAGCUUAAUGAAUACACAUAUUAGAAGUGUCAUCUUUUAAACUUUAUGUUGACCAUAUGUAAACUCCAAACUGCAUGAUCAUGUUUUUUGAUUAACAGCCUGAGCUCGAUCACCACUUUUAAGUGGAAUAUGGAAGCACAUGCCAUCUUCGACCGCAUAGUACAUAAAUCCCUACAGUGCUAGCGGUAGCAUAUGCAGAGGCUCUGGGAUGGAGGCGGUGGAUGACAAGGCUCGCUCUCUAAUUAGUCAUCAUCUGUUUAGGUUCAAUGGUGGCCAUGCAUUGGAUGCUCUUAUCAAAAUAGCUUGUUGCUGUAUGAUGGGUGAUGAUUAGGCUUCAAAAUUUGUGUUU
rnacentral:lncRNA from 1 species